GCCCGGGUGGUGAAAUCGGUAGACACAAGGGAUUUAAAAUCCCUCGACCUCACAGUCGUGCCGGUUCAAGUCCGGCCUCGGGCACCA
rnacentral:tRNA from 1 species